GAUGAAGAACGCAGCGAAAUGCGAUAAGUAAUGUGAAUUGCAGAAUUCAGUGAAUCAUCGAAUCUUUGAACGCACAUUGGGCCCCUUGGUAUCCCGAGGGGCAUGCCUGUUCGAGCGUCAUUUCACCACUCAAGCCUGGCUUGGUGUUGGGCGACGUCCUCUUUGGGGACGCGCCUCGAAACGCUCGGCGGCGUGGCACCGGCUUUAAGCGUAGCAGAAUCUUUCGCUUUGGAAGUCGGGGCCCCGUCUGCCGGAAGACCUGCUCGCAAGGUUGACCUCGGAUCAGGCAGGGAUACCCGCUGAACUUAAGCAUAUCAAUAAGCGGAGGA
rnacentral:misc_RNA from 1 species